UCGAUGGCCCGUUCCCUAGUUUUACUUGGAUGUCCACGUAACCGCGUACGUAUUAUGCGCGCCUCUGUUGCCCCAAAAAAAUUGAGAAGGAAAACUUCAUAGAAAUGGCGGAGGGUGCAACAUCUCUGAAGGGUUUGCGAGCUCAAAUGGCUGCAGCUGCGCAGGCACAGGCAGAGGAGCGGCGCAGCCUAGCAGGGAACAGCCCAGGGCCUGCAGUAGCAGCAGUAGCAGCAGCUAACACACCAUCCCCAGCAGCAGUAGCAGCAGCUAACACACCAUCCCCAGCAGCAGCAGCAAAGUCUCCCCGACCAGUCAUUGAUGGUGCUGCACUAAGGAUAGACGAGCGUCUUCGAGUGGCGAAAGAGAGACGAGAGGAGGCCGAUAGGCAGCAAGCUACGAAGGAAACUCAGAUCCUGGAGCGGGAGCGUAAGGCCAAGCUGCAGGUGGAGCGUCAGAUGGAGGAGCGCCAGAAGAAGCUGGACGAGCAGCGCAGGAAGGAGGAGCAGAGACGCUCAGCCGUGGAGGGGAAGAGGAAGCUAAAACAGGAGGAGGAGAAGGAGCACUAUGAGGCGGUGAUGCGGCGGACCCUGGAGCGCAGCCAGAGAGUGGAGCAGAAGCAGAAGAGGUGGUCCUGGGGGGGGCUUUCAGAGUCAGACAACCGACCUGGAGACCCUGACGCAGGCGCCUCCUCUCCAGUAGCUAUAGUUAUCUCCCCCGCGUCUCCAGAAAAGCCCCCCAGGACACAAGCUGACAAGCGCUCUACCUCCACCAUGAACCUGAAACAGCCGGCCGAUUCUGGCAUUAACAAGCGCCUGUCCUCCUCCUCCGCCACCCUCAUCAAAUCACCUGACAAAAGUGCUCGUGUGAGGAGUUCGUCACUGAACCGGUUGCCUAGAAACAACAAAGUCGACCUAGACACUCAGCCCACUAAGGAAGGCAAAAAAAAGCUUCAGGUGGAACAGACAGGCCCCUCCCUGAAGAAGAGAAGCUCCUCCCUGACACGAGCUGGGGGGGGCAGAACGCCGACCCCCUCCAAGCUCGAUAAGGGGACGUCAGACGACCAAGCUCGCAAGCCCCUGGCGAGCCCCGUGGACGGAGGGUUCCUCAGUCGCCUUCUCAUCCCCACCCAGGCCUCAAUAGCUAGGAGCAAGAGCGCCGCAGCCCUGUCCGAAGGAGGCGAAGUCCCAGAGUGUCACCUGUGUCCUCGUUCAGCCUCGCCCAGCCCCCUGCACCUGAUGCAGCGAGGACCUGUGCGCAGCCGCAGCAUCGACCGGCAGAAGAGCACCACCCUGCCCACCUCGGCCUCGGCAGACCAACUGAACCCCUCACUGAAGGAGAAACGGUUCUCGUCGCCCGGAGGGAAGCGCCCCGCCUCGCCCUCCAACAUCGCGGGACGCCACCGCUCGCCCUCCCCUGCCAACCUCCCCGCCAGCAAAAGAACCCCCUCCCCCAGUGCAGCAAAGCAAAGCCCCCGUAACCGUCCCCCGUCACCCGGAGGUACCAAACAUCGCCCCCCGUCCCCUCAACCCAGUUCGGCCAAGCCCCCAUCCCCUCAGCCCAGCUCGGCCAAGCCACCACCCAUCCAGAGACCGGCCCUCACCCCGACCGGCCCCCCCACCCUGCGGAAGAAAGACUCCAAGCCAAAGGACCUGUGUCCCAUCCAGGCUGUGGCCCCCCAGUCCCCAGAGCCCCCCAGACCAGCUCAACACCGACUCCAGCUCCCACAUCCUCCACUAAGACCAAAGACAAGGACGAGAAGUCCAUGGCGGGCACCAACUCUGCAGCCGAGGCCGCCAUGAUCCUUGCCGAGAACCGCCGUCUGGCACGGGAGAAGAAGGAGAGAGAAGAGGCACUCCGAGUACUGAGAGAGGAGGAGGAGAAGCUGAGGAAGGAGGAGGAGAAAUGCUUGGCCGAGGAGGCACGGUUGAAACGCCUGGAGGAGGAGAGGAGGCUAGCGGAGGAGAAGAAGAAAAAGGAGGAGGAGGACGCUCUCAUGGCCGAGGCAGACCGAGAGAGACUGGAGGCUGAGGAGGCCGGGAGACAGGCUGAGCUACAGAAAGAGCGUGAAGAGGCGGAGGCUCAGGCUGCAAUUGAUGCAGAGAAGGUCCGCAUUGAGAGGGAGAGGGUAAUGGCCCAGAACCAUAAGGAACGCAUGGAGAGGAAGAAGAGAAUUGAGGAGAUCAUGAAGAGAACCAGAAAAGGAGACCAAGAAAAGGGAGGAGAUGAUGAUGAUGAUGAGGAUGAGAAAGACAUACAGGAUGAAGAGGGAGAGGAGGAGGUUGAAGAAGAAACCAACUGUGUCGAAACCAAGGACGAUGAGUCAACCCAGCCCGGAGAUAUUGCCUUGGAGACGGACGACCUGGAGCGUGGACUGGCCCGCAGCGAACCAAUGGGAGUGCGGGAGGAGCCGUUGGGAUGCGUGAACGGGAUACCGGAGGCAGACGACAAGGAGAACAACAGAACCACCGCUGAGGGGCCUCUGGCUGUGAGUCCAGUGCCUAAGGUUCAUUUAGUGGGGGGCUCAGAGUUCCUGAACGAGGACUCUAACAAGCUGUCCCCGGGGCUGAACGGUAAGCCUGGCCCCUGGAGCUUCGAGGAAUUAAUUGACCUGGGCGUCAACUCCAAGGGCCGUCCCCUCAUCGAUGCUGACGGCCGCAACCAGGGCCUCAUCGACUGUGACGGGGCCCCCAAUGGACCCAGGUUGGCCUUCGAGGACAAGGGGACCCCCGUGGCCACCCUCCACCCCUCCAGUCAGCCCAUUGAAGCCCUGUCAGAGAUGUGAGGCUGCAGCUCUCCCUUCGGAGGCCUGUGAAUAUUGCACUUCCAGAGUUCUUGUCCAGCUGAGCUCCAGACCCCUUACCCCCUCCACACGUACACACCCGCCCUCAGCCAGAGGAAGAGCACAGGGGUUGAGGGGGGGACAGGGACUCCAGAACGCUAAAUUUGCACCCCCACCACAUGAAAAGAAAAUCUAAAAAGAGAAACAAAGCUUCAGGGGAAAAUCUCUAUUCCUCCUUCAAUGUGCUCACUUCAAGGGCUCUCAUCCUCCCAUACCUAUAACAGUUGACACUUGGUUAUUUUUUAAAUGUUGUUUUGUUCAUACUGUUGUUUUUUAAGUGUUGUGCAGGGUGUGCAACGUAAUUUAUUAAUUUUGUUGUCUUCGUUAAAUGUAAUUGCUGGUUUGAGAAUAUUCCAGGAUUUAUGUACAUAACACUUUGCUCUAUGAUUGCUAUGAGUUCAUUACUUCUCGUGUCAUGAGUGAGUCAGGAAACUCUAGUACUGAUUGGUGGGCUGGGGAACCUGGGUAUUGUAGUCUCUCAGGGUCUGCCUACAUGAGCCCUAAGUAUCUCCAGUGGAUAAGGGAGUAUUUACACGUGUGUUAUGACUUACCGGUUCCCAAACCAGAAGCGGCACUAUGUAACUCUAAUCCCAUCCUAACCAAAUUGUAAUCCGACCUAGAAUUCUGGAUUUGUCCUUGCUCUCCUUUAAACUCUCCAGGUCCUAUUCUCCCAUGGUUUACCCCUGCUCACUCCUGCUCUUCUCCUUAUGGCCACUAGGGGGCACUCAGAUCUAUGAAUCAAACAAAUGGUUUUAUGAAAUGACUGUUGCCUACUAACCUAUGGUAGCAGGCAUAAAAUAAAUGCCUGAGUGGGGUCGGAAGAAACCGGAAGCAUACGGCUUUCAAACUUCGCCUCUUCUCAGCUUUUCCCCUGAAAACCGGAUUCUUCCGGCACUGCUGAGGGUGGUUGCCUACUAUUUCAAAUUUACAAACUGAAGGAUGUAGGAAUUUGACAAGCUGGUGAUUUAGUAAAUAUUUGUGAACUGUUGCUGUUAACUUUCGGUUCCUGGUCUUUAGGUUUAUGUCCUCAGAUCUUGACAUGUUAUGUUUUUACAUGUAUGUAGACUUAAUGUUUAACUAACUCAUAUCAAUUCUGAAUUUAAUUGCAUCCUGAGCGCUGAGGUAUAACAUGACCCCCAGCAAUGACUGCAUGAAUUUAUACACUUACCAUAUGAAUGGCUAUAGCCCGUAGUGGAUUAAUGUGUAUGUUGGUUAAUUGCAGUCAGACGAGGUCCAUGAGUUUCACUUUACGUCACUCUUCUCUAAGGGGUGUACUAGUCCAGAAACUAACUUGAAUGGUUGGAAGUUUUCUCUCACGAUGCCCAAAGUUCCUUUUUCUAGGGCUAAAACACAGUUUUGACCUGGCUGUAGAUGUAUGGAGUGUUUCCUACAUUCGCUGUCUGUCUAUCUCGUUCCAUACAAAUUCCAGUGCUUCUCCACUAAGCUUCUAUGUUACUUCUCCUGGUAAAAAAAAGUGUUUCAAUUAUUUGUCAUAAUUUGGCCGUCUGUUUAUAUACAAUAUACGAAAAUAUAUUUCCUCAUAUUUAAGUGUUAUUGUAUUAUGUAUGUAAUCAGUAUUGGGCCAAUGCUUCUGUGGGUGGGGUACUGCGAAUGGAUGUUACUUUAUUUAAAUGUUUGUUCUAUUAGACUCGUGCCCUUUGCCAGGGUAGUCAGUGCUGUUACCCUAUGAUCUGUUCUAAAUUAAGCCCUGUCUCCUGCCCUCUAGGCACUUUAGUAGAUUGGAUUGGUGUAAGCAAUAUGGUAACGAUUCCACGAGGUUAAGCUAUUAUAUUGCUUAUACCUGUCAAAUGCUUACAAAGUGCCAAGGGAUAGGGACUAAGGGUUGGUGUUACCCAGGAGGCUACAGGAAACCCUCCUGUUCUCCAGUACUCUGAGCCUAGGGCAGGGGAUCCUCAUACUGUAGAGGGAAGAUGUCUGUGCACCUUGAUUGAGGGCAUUUUGUGAAGUUCUGACUUUCAUCCCCCAACCACCUCUAACAAUCGCCUUGGUCUCCGACAGGGGUGGACUGAGGGGUGGAAAUGUUUCAGUGCUUUAUCACAGUGUGAAAGUUUGCAGUCAUAUGGUGUCUGAAGGUUAGCAUGAACUCUGACUACUGCGCCACACGCUUCUCUGUAUAGCAGCAGUGUGACGGAGUGAAUCUACCGCUAAAUGAUGGAGAUGGGAGCAAAUGCGAUUUGGUCAGUCUUGUUCUUGUCUCGUUUAUGGGUUCUUUCAAAUCUGUGUCGAGAAGCUUGAAUUCCCUAAUGCUUGAAUCGUCCAAACGGAGAGGUUUGGGGACCUUUGUUUUUUUUGCUUCAUAAUAAAUCUGUUGACUGUCACAUUUAAUAAACCAUAAGGUUUCUCUGAAAUAGCUUUAUAUUUGACAUACCUUAUGUCUGGACUUAGACCCAUGAGCUUAGCUUUGAGAAUGUAACUUUAACUAAACAAACAAGCCCUUAAGCAUUUAACAUGCUUCUCUUUUUGAGGAGAAACCUUUUUUUGUUUUCAUGUGCAACCAGUUUUAUUAUUCAUCACAACAUAAGACACUUUGCACUGUGGGAGGUUUUCCACUUCUUGAAAGGGUUGACAAGCUUUCUAAAAUGAAUUACACGGGGUUGACUUGUCACCAAGAAGUAACUUUACUGUAUAGUCAUGUUCGAGAGGUGUGUGUGUGUGUGUGUGGUAUUCUGGAAAGAAAGUUUUCUCUCUCCUCUCCGGUCUCCUCCCAUCCAGGCUUUUAAUGAUCUACCCUCCUUGACUUGACUAACCGUUUAUCUUUUCAAAGUGCAGGGGAUUGCUGUAGACUUAUUCAAUAUGAAACGCUUGUUCCUUGGUCAGGUCUACAUGUGCUUAGCUAAUGGCAGUGGCGCUGGCACAUCCAGUCAUGGAUACUGUAGAUCGGACCAAUACAGGACAGUUGCUGCUUUAAUACUAGAAAUGUUCCAGGUCCUGUUAUGUUUUUUAAUUCCCAUCCCUUUCUGCAUCUGUGGGCCUGAAUACAGAGCUAACUGUUCUUAAUUGAUCUCAUGAUUCAGUGGCUAUGACGGUAGAGUAGGAUGCCUUAGAUUGAGAAUAGGCUGUAUUUUUAUUUUAUAGUAAUUAAUAACUAAUCAAAUGUGUCACGUGUCCUUACGUCGGCCAUGACAAUCAUUCUAACCGACCAGGGCUACAAUAUGAAUAUCAAUAGCUUUUUCAGACCCUAACCCAAGCCAUGUCCACAAAUUAUAUUUGUAAAUAUAUCUAAAGUGUUCUGAGAAGAUAUGAACUGUUAAAAUAAAGUUUUGCUAAAUAAAA